rnacentral:rRNA from 1 species
GACGAACGCUGGCGGCGUGCCUAAUACAUGCAAGUAGAACGCUGAAGAGAGGAGCUUGCUCUUCUUGAAUGAGUUGCGAACGGGUGAGUAACGCGUAGGUAACCUGCCUUGUAGCGGGGGAUAACUAUUGGAAACGAUAGCUAAUACCGCAUAACAAUGGGUGACACAUGUCAUUUAUUUGAAAGGGGCAAUUGCUCCACUACAAGAUGGACCUGCGUUGUAUUAGCUAGUAGGUGAGGUAACGGCUCACCUAGGCGACGAUACAUAGCCGACCUGAGAGGGGGAUCGGCCACACUGGGACUGAGACACGGCCCAGACUCCUACGGGAGGCAGCAGUAGGGAAUCUUCGGCAAUGGGGGCAACCCUGACCGAGCAACGCCGCGUGAGUGAAGAAGGUUUUCGGAUCGUAAAGCUCUGUUGUAAGUCAAGAAUGAGUGUGAGAGUGGAAAGUUCACACUGUGACGGUAGCUUACCAGAAAGGGACGGCUAACUACGUG